rnacentral:rRNA from 1 species
CCUACGUGAGGCUGCAGUGAGGAAUAUUGGUCAAUGGGCGGGAGCCUGAACCAGCCAAGUCGCGUGAAGGAAGAAGGUACUUAGUAUUGUAAACUUCUUUUGUCGGGGAACAAAGGCGGAGACGCGUCUCCGGAUGGGCGUACCCGACGAAAAAGCAUCGGCUAACUCCGUGCCAGCAGCCGCGGUAAUCCGGGGGAUGCGAGCGUUAUCCGGAUUUAUGGGGUUUAAAGGGUGCGAAGGCGGGAGAUCAAGUCAGCGUGAAAAGGUCGGGGCUCAACCCCGGCCGGCCUUUGAAACUGGUUGUCUAGAGUUGGAGAGAGGUAUGCGGAAUUCGUGGUGUAGCGGUGAAAUGCAUAGAUAUCACGAAGAACUCCGAUUGCGAAGGCAGAAUACCGGCUCCAUACUGACGCUGAGGCACGAAAGCGUGGGGAUCGAACAGGAUUAGAUACCCGAGUAGUC